rnacentral:rRNA from 1 species
UUGCUCUCGGGUGACGAGCGGCGGACGGGUGAGUAAUGUCUGGGAAACUGCCUGAUGGAGGGGGAUAACUACUGGAAACGGUAGCUAAUACCGCAUAACGUCGCAAGACCAAAGUGGGGGACCUUCGGGCCUCAUGCCAUCAGAUGUGCCCAGAUGGGAUUAGCUGGUAGGUGGGGUAACGGCUCACCUAGGCGACGAUCCCUAGCUGGUCUGAGAGGAUGACCAGCCACACUGGAACUGAGACACGGUCCAGACUCCUACGGGAGGCAGCAGUGGGGAAUAUUGCACAAUGGGCGCAAGCCUGAUGCAGCCAUGCCGCGUGUGUGAAGAAGGCCUUCGGGUUGUAAAGCACUUUCAGCGGGGAGGAAGGCGGUGAGGUUAAUAACCUCAUCGAUUGACGUUACCCGCAGAAGAAGCACCGGCUAACUCCGUGCCAGCAGCCGCGGUAAUACGGAGGGUGCAAGCGUUAAUCGGAAUUACUGGGCGUAAAGCGCACGCAGGCGGUCUGUCAAGUCGGAUGUGAAAUCCCCGGGCUCAACCUGGGAACUGCAUUCGAAACUGGCAGGCUAGAGUCUUGUAGAGGGGGGUAGAAUUCCAGGUGUAGCGGUGAAAUGCGUAGAGAUCUGGAGGAAUACCGGUGGCGAAGGCGGCCCCCUGGACAAAGACUGACGCUCAGGUGCGAAAGCGUGGGGAGCAAACAGGAUUAGAUACCCUGGUAGUCCACGCUGUAAACGAUGUCGAUUUGGAGGUUGUGCCCUUGAGGCGUGGCUUCCGGAGCUAACGCGUUAAAUCGACCGCCUGGGGAGUACGGCCGCAAGGUUAAAACUCAAAUGAAUUGACGGGGGCCCGCACAAGCGGUGGAGCAUGUGGUUUAAUUCGAUGCAACGCGAAGAACCUUACCUGGUCUUGACAUCCACAGAACUUUCCAGAGAUGGAUUGGUGCCUUCGGGAACUGUGAGACAGGUGCUGCAUGGCUGUCGUCAGCUCGUGUUGUGAAAUGUUGGGUUAAGUCCCGCAACGAGCGCAACCCUUAUCCUUUGUUGCCAGCGGUUAGGCCGGGAACUCAAAGGAGACUGCCAGUGAUAAACUGGAGGAAGGUGGGGAUGACGUCAAGUCAUCAUGGCCCUUACGACCAGGGCUACACACGUGCUACAAUGGCAUAUACAAAGAGAAGCGACCUCGCGAGAGCAAGCGGACCUCAUAAAGUAUGUCGUAGUCCGGAUUGGAGUCUGCAACUCGACUCCAUGAAGUCGGAAUCGCUAGUAAUCGUAGAUCAGAAUGCUACGGUGAAUACGUUCCCGGGCCUUGUACACACCGCCCGUCACACCAUGGGAGUGGGUUGCAAAAGAAGUAGGUAGCUUAACCU